rnacentral:rRNA from 1 species
UGGGGAAUAUUGGACAAUGGGCGCAAGCCUGAUCCAGCAACGCCGCGUGGAGGACGAAGGCCUUCGGGUCGUAAACUCCUGUCAGGCGGGACGAAGGUGUGGGGGUAAAUAAUCCUUACGCUUGACGGUACCGUCAGAGGAAGCCCCGGAUAACUCCGUGCCAGCAGCCGCGGUAAUACGGAGGGGGCGAGCGUUAUUCGGAAUUAUUGGGCGUAAAGGGCGCGUAGGCGGCUUGGCAAGUCAAAGGUGAAAUCCCUCGGCUCAACUGAGGAACUGCCUUUGAAACUGCCUGGCUUGAGGCCGGGAGGGGGUAGCGGAAUUCCCAGUGUAGCGGUGAAAUGCGUAGAUAUUGGGAGGAACACCAGUGGCGAAGGCGGCUACCUGGACCGGUUCUGACGCUGAUGCGCGAAAGCGUGGGUAGCAAA